UAGCUCAAUUGGUAGAGCAUGGUGUUUGCAACGCCAGGGUUGUGGGUUUGAUUCCCAC
rnacentral:tRNA from 1 species